rnacentral:lncRNA from 1 species
CGGAAGGGAAGGACUCCCAAACGGUGCUCAGCACCUCUGCCGUGCAGGAAGCGUCCACAUCCCCGUGCUAACCUGUGCAAACAGCUGGAGGUGGGACAGCCCUAGCCAGGGGAGGAGGAGUCCGCACCCUGCAAGUGUAGAGAGACUUACUACAGAUAAGAAGAUUGUAACCUAUCGAUGGCCAAUUCCCUUUAACCUGUAAUGUGCAUGAUCGGUCCAGCCCUCACCUCUCAGAUCAGCUGCUCUCCUUCCACUGAGUGAGCCCCCCAUCCCUGUCUUCCCUUUGCUGCUGGCUAUAUCCAACCCUUGGACCCAAGGAGGCGCCUAUAUGAUUAUACGGUUGGUGCAUCUGGAUUCCCCUUCUUCCUGCUCUGUUUGCACCCUUAGAGGUGACUGCAAGGUGUGGUGCUGGUGGUGGGUAGGAAAGGAGGGACGGACACAGGGAGUGAGGGUGUACAUAGGUAACAGGGAGGACAGGCUGGGGUUAUGUUCACACAGAUGAUCUCUCUUGCAGUCCAGCUGGUGUACACUGACAUGUUUUAAUCCCAGCGAGUAGGGAGGGGGAGGAGGACUGAGCAGGGAUAGGUUGGCAGGAGCAAGAUGUGGGUGGUAUGCUCUGUUUUGUAAGGAGCACUGAGAUUGCAGCAUGGUUAUCAGCCACACGUUUCGGUCUCCCAUGUGUAGGAUGUAUUCACCGGGAGAGGGGGUCAGUCAGUUCCUCAUAUACCAUUUAUGUGUUGUACACCUACACUGCUAACCUACCUGGUGAACCUUCAUACUAUACACCGGGAGCACUGUGACACUCAUACAGAAUGAUACAGUGAUUCAUGGUAUCUCUGUGUUCUAGAAUGUUUGCUGUUACAGUUGCAGGACAUAUGUGGUUCUUUGGGGGGGGGGUGCAUUACGCCCAGAGGGGAUAUUUUUUGUAAUGUGUUUUUGUUAUUGGAAGUGUGAACAGUAAAUGAUCUGUUUAUGAGGCUGGAUAGGGGUGUAGUUUCAGAAAAGCAAAAUGACAAUAAGUAAAACCCGCAGAAAAAAACACUUAACACAUCUGUCUGGUUAGUGUUGCUUCCGGUUUCAUGGCGUGGCUAUAAGCAGUUGCUGGUAAAAAAAAAAAAAACACGAACAAAAAAAAAUCAUAACUUCUCCAUUUCCACGCCCUCUGUACAGGAAGCAAGCUUUCUUUUGAAUGUAACAAACCACAAGACAUGAAGUGCUUUAUGUUAUGCAUAUCACAAGAGACACCUUGUUCUCCUAUUAAUGGACCACUAGGGUCUCUUGCACAAUUCCAGAGACUAGGUGAUAAGCAUUUGCUCUAUAGGUUAUAGUGUUAAACUAGUAUACUAGACUGGUAUAAUAUGUUAUAAGGAAAAACAAACAUACUGGUGUAACGUUUUAAUGGUUAGAUGGUAAUUGAAACUGCUUAAAAGUUUUAUUUGAAUGACCAGGAUGUCAUUUUAAACUGGUACAUUGGAGUUUAUAUAAUAUUAUUGAAUCUGAUGUUAAUCAGCCGUUUCAAUCUCAGACCACUAUGUUUUCUAGAUUUUUAAAAUUAACUCUAUUUGGAUUACUUUUGUAUAUUUUAUAUCUCAUGAGCAGUGUGGGCUGAGAUUUCUUUUGAAGUCUGUCACAGAAUUGUUUACUAUCAUAAUCACCUGUGUAUCUUGUUAAUGAAUCAUUUGCUCAAAUUGGAACGUAUACGCCCACAUAGCAGCAUGUCUAACAGAACAUUUUAUAAGUAGGUGGAUGUAUUGUGGGUUUUAUUUUAUUUUUUUACAUAUUGUAAUGGCACAAUAAAGUUAUAUGUAAUAUUAGCACAUGACUACUGAUACUUGUGGAAGGUUGGAUCAGUGUGUACAUAAAAUUGUUCAGAGCUGGUGGUGUCAAACCAUCUGUAAAGAUUUCAGGCCUUGUCCUUAGACUUUCUUCCAGUCACCUUGCUUAGUGCAGAUUCUAUCAUGUGGAAUUGCACAAUAGCCACUAAUACAUAAGGUCACAUUGUUGGGACUAUUGGGUUGGUGCCAGUAGAUAUAUACUGUACUUACAAAAAAUAUGCACCUUGUUAAAGGACCACUAGAGUGCCCUGAGGGUGCCCCCACCCUCAGGGACCCCCUCCCGCCGGGCUUGAUGGCGAGGAAAGGGUUAAAACGUACCUUUAUUCCAGCGCCGGGCGGGGAGCUCUCCUCCUCCUCUCCUCCCCUUCAGCUGAAUGCGCAUGCGCAGCAGGAGCUGCGUGCGCAUUCAGCCAGUCUCAUAGGAAAGCAUUCACAAUGCUUUCCUAUGGACGCUGGCGACUUCUCACUGUGAUUUUUCACAGUGAGAAGCAUGCAAACGCCUCUAGCGGCUGUCAAUGAGAGAGCCUUUAGAGGCUGUAUUAACCCAUUUAUAGAAACUGCUAUAUAUAUAUAUAUAUAUAUAUAUAUAUAUAUAUAUAUAUAUAUAUAUAUAUAUAUAUAUAUGGGGGUUAACCCUAGCUGGACCUGGCACCCAGACCACUGCAUUAAGUUGAAGUGGUCUGGGUGCCUAGAGUGGUCCUUUAGCUUCAUUCUUUAUAAAAUAUUUCAAUCAAAAGCUUUCCCUUUUGCAUUUUGGUAUGUGCAUAUUGUGUGUUCAGUGGCUCAAGGUAGCAUUAGCACUCUAAAAGUUUACUAAGGAUAGGUACGAUUUUUUUUUAAAUAGGAGCCUUGUGUCUGCAGUGGGAAUUUUGGGGGAAACCAUUUUAGAAAAUACAUUUGUCAUGUAAAAAAAAUUUUCUGAAAAAAUUUAUAAACACUGAAAUGUUUGUUUGCAAAGUGUAUGUUUUCCAUAUCCACAAGAAACAGUUGCAUACACAUUUACUUAAAUGUUAUUUUGCUAGAAAAAAAAAUAUAGUAAAUUUGUGAAAUAGGUGUUUUCAGGUGUUUGCACCUCUUUGCUGAUAAUAGAUGCAAGUAAACAGAUACAUUUAAAUGAACACUAUAGGCACCCAGACCACUGAAGUGGUUUGGGUGCAAUGUCCCUGUCCUCUUAACCCUGCAAUGUUAAUUAUUGCAGUUUCACACUGCAAUACUGUAUUUACAUGAGGUUUGAAUGUUGCAUUCUUAAUGAUACAUAAUAUAAAUAAACACAAGACAACUUCUUUUAUCCAACUUGUUUAUUCAAUACUCCAAUAUUGCACCUUGGAGAAUGGCCGUGAACCUUUAUUACGGAUUUCAUAAUUCCACUUUAAACAUAAAACCAUAAUUUUAAAAUCAAACCGAAAUAUUAACCAUUAAAACUUUCCACCAUUAAAACUUUCCAACUUUCCAAGGCUCCGCCCCCCACCAAAGCCAGGAGCCAUAAAUAUAUCAUAAAACCAAUUUUAUAAACCAAAUCCACCCUCCUGUGAUGCCCAGGAGGGUGACUUAUAUCCCAACGCCACUGAGGUAAUGGGAUACCAAACACGGUGGCCCCCCACCGCCCACAGCCAUCUCCAACAUAAAGUGAACACUUACCUUAAAUAUAUAUCCACACCAACAUCGGACAAAUGAAAUGCGCAUUCCUAUAUAAACCUGUGCAACUGCCCUCAAUAACUAUGAGUCUUUUAAAAAGACAACCAAAGCUGCAAAACCUUUCUAACGCUCUAUUUAAGCGGUUUAACCUUAUUUUCAUCCAGCAUUGCUUUGGUAUAAUUUCCGACCAAAUAAAUUGAACAUCUAGAAUUUUUUUUUUGCCACAAAAACCUUACCCUUCUUAAUUACUUACCACAAAUUGACUGAUUUUAUUGACCCAAUGUUGUUUCCUCCCAGAUGAACCACUACCACAACUGGGUAAGGAAAAACUAGGUAAAUUGUUGCAAUAACUCAAAUAAAUGUGACCAUUUCACACCACGAAUACCAAAAUAUUUUAACCAUUGUGCUUCCAAACCAAGAUUUUUCACCAUAUGUUCGCUCUUGCGCUCUCUUCUGGGCCCAUACCAUAAACGAAUAACCAAUGACCCAGGCAAAUGCCGGCUUCUUAAGACCUAACAAAAGAAAAAUUAUUAGUAUAUGUACUAAUUUCCAUAAAACCCAUAACUUUCAUAAAUACCAAGUAACCAUUUACCAAUAGAAUAUUUCAUUUAUUUAUUAUCGAAUGAAGCCUGACACAUAAUUGAAAUUGUUAGAGUCCCGGCUUCCCAACGUUUGACUGAUUCCAUCAUUUCAACCACACCUUGCCGCUUUGUUUGCAGCUCCAAUUCUAAAAGAACAAGAUGAGUAACACUCCUUGUCCAACCAAAUUAUAUUUUUUUUUAUUUUUUUAUAAAACCUUUAUGAAUUGAAAUUAAGUUAAAGAAUUAAAUCAGCAUACAUAAAAUGGGCCCUUUACUCAUAGCCUUACUGAUAACUGUUCUUCUGUUACUUUACAGGGCACAAAAUAAACUUUAAUAUUAAACAAUGUCAACCAUAUGUCGUUUUCUUCUUGAACCGUUUAGGUUUUCUAAUAGAUAUCAAUACUCUCUUAUUGUGCACCAUAACAUCCUCAGACAGCACACCCGAUAAACAAAAUUUACUCCUCGUAACCAACUCACCAAUCCUACACUUGAAAACUGAUAUAAACGGGCAUCUAAAUAACUCAAAGAAGAAUAAUAUACGACUUUAAAAUCUUCCGAUAACUGUGCCAAACCCGAAAAUGAAUUCGGUUUUCUAUUAUCCCUUACCUGACAAACUCUCCUACCACCUUUAACUAGCUGAACUAUGAAAUACUGUUUUGAUUGGUUUACCAUCACAUAGCUUCAGAAGAAAUCCACCUUUGCUAAAUCACUUGUAACUUUGAUUUAGAAAAGCCCUUUCUGCAUUACAUGAACUAUAAAUUGCACUGCACUCUCCUUAUCCUCUUCUAAUGGAAUUUUCCCAUUUACUUUUAAAAUUCACUGCUCAUUCCAUGCCCUUAACUUAAGACAGCAAAACUGAAGCUGCCACUAAAUUAACACUUAACUGUCCCAAACUAUACCCAAAGGUCUGAUGAAAAUUCGAUUCCUUUCGUUUCCCGAAACUUUAAUUUUAAACUUGAGAGAGCAUCAACCAGCCUAUUCAUUUUCUUGGUUUAUGCCCGACUUUGCGUAUUUUUUUAUUUUUUAUUAUUUUUUUUUUUUAGGUAUUGAAUUGCAGAUACCUUAAAAACCAAAUGUCUCAGCAAAUUAACUACCCUUUAACACCAAAGACUGUAAGGAAUUGAGUACGAUAACUACACUCAAAUUAUCAAAUAUAUAGCAAUCAAUCGUCUACCUUUCCAUACCCUCCCAUAAGUAUGGCUGCUACAAUGGGGAAUAUAUCCAAACACGUUAAAUUAUUUGUUAAACCUUCUUGUUGGCCAUUCUUGAGAACUCCCCUGUCCUUCCCAAUGUGUACCGAAAACAAUGCACCUGCUGCAUCAGUUAACAGCUCCAAAUUAUUAAAUCUGUAAACUCCUUCUGUCACAUUGAUCCCCCAUUAACUUUACAAGAUUUUUUGUUAAAUUAAUUUUUUAAUACUUUAAGUCAUGUUUUAAUUCUCUUGUUAUUCCAUUGUGAGCAGAGGGGGUUGGAGGGUCAGUGUUUGCCUUAGUUAUACCGAUUUUCUUGGAAAAAUGCUCUCCCCAUUAGGAUAACCCUUGAUGCAAAUACAACAAACCUAAGAGUGAUUGCAGCACCUUAAAGUUACUUUUCCACAGCCCCGUUACCUGUUGAAUCAGCAUCCUCAUCUUCUUAAUCCUAUCCUCCGGCAACCUAAAUUCCAUAUUUCUUUUCUCUCUUUUUUUUUUUUAUUUUUUUUUUAAUUAAUUUAUUUUUAUCAGGAAUUGUAGACAAGUAAAUAAUUGGAUAAAAUCCUCUUUUCUGCUGCUAAAAGAAUACGUAAAUUAGAAGUCACCUUUUGAAAAAUUUCUAACAGGCUCUUACAGUUGCCACUCUCUUUGGAGCCCACAAUAAAAUCAUCAAAUAGUGCACUAUUUUUCUCUGACCAGGCUUGCAACAUCUCAAAUAACUCAAAGUAAGAACAUGCAAGCACACGAAAAACUGGUAAGCACCUGCCGAAAAUACGUCCUUCAAAUUGAAAAUUUACGAAUUAAAUGACUCUGGAUAAAUUGGUCAGAGUUAAAAGCAGCUAUAAUACUGACUCUUCCCACAUUCUUUUACCAAAUUUAAAACUUAUCAAAAGUUGAAUAUGACACUGAACUAUCCUCCUUUAGAAUCACGUCAUUUAAAGAUUCUCACUUAAAGUAUGAUAAGUGGUGUAUCAAUCUGAAUGACCCUGGCUCCUUCUUUGGAACUAAACCCACGGAGAUACUAAAAUUUGCAAGGAUGAACAGAGAAAGGACUUUCAAUCCUGCCUAGCUUAAACUGUUUACAAAUCUUUACCUACGCUAUAUAUUUGGCAACUCUAAAUGUAUUUGUAACUUUUAAAUAUAUACAGGUAACCGGAAACCAACAUCUUCAAACUUUGUCUUCUCCAAUUUUAAUACUAUCUAGAAAAUGCAGUAAUCUUCGCAGCCUCACUGAGGUCUGUGCUUUAAAAUGUACUGCUUUGCUGGCCUCUUUUAAAACAACGAAAAUUACUGUGUGCACCUGAAGAGGUAGCACAUUCCUGACGGUAUCUACAUUUAUUUAAACACUUAUACUGAGAUUCAUCAAAAGCCAAACCCGUGUUUUUUUUUUUUUUUUUAUGUUAUAUUUGUACUAACCUACCUUUUAGCAUAAACUAGCUGUCUCUAAGGUAACUCCAUGCUCACGCAUAGCCUUCUUUUUCAUUCCAUUUUUAUGUUACUCUGAACCGCUGUCAGGGUACCUGUUGGUGAUGUAUCCAGGGAGGACAUCCUCUCUGCUUAGGGGUUCCCUUCCCCUAGCAUUUCGGCAUAUUUCGGCCGUUUUCGCGCCGGCCGCGCUAGCUCCUCCCCCUUUUAUGACGCGACGGCUAGCGUCGACGUCAUGACGUCGGCAUUUGCAUAAAGUGCCGGGAACCGCUAUUCCGGACCUUUUGGGGGCGUGGUCUCUAUUUAGGUAACAGGGUAUUUAAAGGAAACCUUUACUACUGCUCAUUGCCCUGUCGUGGUUCUAGCUUGCUAGUCACUCAGCGCGUUCUUUAUCUUGUGUUUCCGGUUUUGACCCUUGCUUGUCUUUUGUCCUGUUGUCCUCUCCUCUCCUUUGACUCGGCUUGUAUCUCGCUUACCUGUCCUCCGGCUCCCUUGACCUCGGCUUACCUUUUGACUAUUCUUGCUUUGUCCUUACGUUAGUCCGGCCAUUCUAAGGUCCGGUAUACGUACCUCCUUCUGUGCGCACUCUGCGUAUUGGAUCCCUGUCAGUUUCCUGACAUUACGACAGGGCCAUGAUGGAUCCUGCAGGUGCUAGUCCUCCUGACCCCAGAUUUGAGGCCAUGGACCAUAGAAUGGACCAAAUGGCUUUAGCGUUACAAACUUUGUUGACACGCUCCAGUACCCAGUCUGAAGAAAUACGUUCCACUGCUAGCCACUCGCUAAGUACUGGUUUGGAAGUAGCCACUGUAGGCGCAUCUUCCCAUGUCACGUCACCAUUACGAUAUGGGGGUUCGCCUGAUGCUUGUCGUGGUUUUUUAAACCAGAUAAGUAUACAUUUCGAACUACAACCCCGGGCUUACCCCACUGACAGGGCUAAGGUAGGCUUUAUUAUAACCCUGCUAAUAGAUAAAGCACUUAGAUGGGCCAAUCCCCUUUGGGAGAAUGACAAUCCUUUAGUCUACAACUACACUGCGUUUGUCACGGCUUUUAGAAGAACCUUUGACCCCCCAGGGAGGAAGAUUAAUGCGGCCAGAUCCCUGUUACGCCUUAAACAACAAGAUAGGACCCUUGUAGAAUAUGCUCUAGAGUUUAGAUCAUUGGCAGCAGAAGUGAAAUGGAACGAACAAGCUUUUAUGGAUGUUUUCUUGAAUGGGUUGUCUGAUGAAAUUCUAGAUGAAAUUGCCACAAGAGAACUUCCGGAAAAUUUAGAGGAUUUAGUAUCCUUCAUUUCCAGAAUAGAUGAACGCAUGAGACAGAGGCAGAACACUCGGGAAAGAGUUACUAGACUUCCUGUAAGACUCGCUCCCUCAUUUCAGAACCCUGACUCCUAUAAUCCUACUCCACCAGAACCUAUGCAAAUAGGUAAUACUCGCUUAUCUGAGGCUGAGAGACAGUACAGAAGAAGGGAGGGUCUCUGUUUAUACUGCGGGCUGAGAGGUCACCUACGUCUCAGUUGCCCUAAUCGUCCGGGAAACGCUCGCACCUAAGUUCCCUUAGAGGACGGGCCUUGGGUGUUUCAUUACUGUCCUCUAUGCAUAAUAAAAAAGACCAUAGGCUUCUGAUUCCUGUCUCUCUAGCUUGGGAAAAGGGGUUUAUUACUACGAUGGCAUUAUUAGAUUCUGGAGCAGCAGAAAGCUUUAUAGACCAAACUUUCGCUAAUAAGCAUUGUAUCCCAUUCCAAUUGAGAGAUACACCCUUGGCCGUUGAGGCCAUAGAUGGUAGACCUUUAUCUGAACCAGUAAUAUUCCAUGAGACAGAACCCGUUAAGCUUACUGUUGGUAUUUUCCACGAAGAGUUGAUUUCCCUUCUGUUAAUUUCCUCCCCGGCAGUCCCAGUGGUUCUAGGAUAUUCUUGGCUCAAGAGACACAACCCUCAGAUUGACUGGGAGGGUGGAGAAAUCGUUUCUUGGGGUAUGGGUUGUAGGAAGGAAUGUCUGCAGAGAGUUACUUCUGUUUGCCCCGUGAACUCUUAUGCUAACACUUCUCAAUCCACAGACGUUCAGAUACCAUUACAAUAUCUAGACCUCAAAUCUGUAUUUGACAAGGGUAAGGCGGAUACUUUACCUCCCCACCGGUCUUAUGACUGUUCUAUUAAACUUUUCCCUGGUACUAUGCCUCCCAGGGGUACGGUAUACCCUCUAUCCACCAAGGAAAACUUAGUUUUAGAGGAAUAUAUCAAGGAGAAUUUAGACAAGGGAUUUAUUAGAAAGUCUUCUUCUCCGGCGGGGGCGGGUUUCUUUUUUGUAGAAAAGAAAGACGGUACCUUACGUCCUUGUAUAGACUAUCGGGGAUUGAACAAAAUUACUAUCAGAAAUGCUUACCCUAUUCCUUUGAUUACUGAACUCUUUGACAGACUAAAGGGCUCGAGUAUUUUUACUAAACUUGACUUAAGAGGAGCAUAUAACUUAGUGCGAAUUAAACAAGGAGAUGAAUGGAUGACAGCAUUUAAUACCCGUUACGGGCAUUAUGAGUAUACCGUAAUGCCGUUUGGGCUUUGUAACGCCCCGGCCGUCUUCCAAGACUUGAUCAAUGAAGUUCUUAGAGAAUUCCAACAUGAAUGUGUAAUUGUAUAUUUGGAUGAUAUACUAAUCUAUUCUAGAGACAUUAAUUCACAUCAUAGACAAGUCAGAAAGGUAUUACAGAAACUUUUACAACAUGGAUUGUAUUGUAAAUUGGAAAAAUGUAGCUUUGACCAGUCUCAGGUAACUUUCUUAGGUUACGUAAUUUCCAAAGACGGGUUUAUGAUGGACCCGACCAAACUAAAAUCGAUUUUAGAUUGGCCUUUACCUAAGGGACUCAAAGCCAUACAAAGAUUUCUUGGAUUUUCUAAUUAUUACAGACGUUUUAUUAAAGGGUACUCCUCUGUUAUCGCUCCUAUCACUAAUAUGACCAAACAAGGAGCCGAUACCAAAACCUGGUCUACUGAGGCUUUAUCUGCUUUCGAAACGCUCAAACAGUCUUUUGCCUCAGCACCUGUAUUAGUUCAUCCUGAUACCUCUCUACCCUUUUUACUUGAAGUUGAUGCGUCUGAAACAGGGAUAGGCGCAGUGUUAUCCCAAAGACAAAGUUUAGAUAAGCCGCUGCACCCUUGCGGUUUUUUUUCCAAGAAACUGUCACACACUGAAAGGAGAUAUGACAUUGGUGAUAGAGAACUUUUAGCUAUCAUUAUGGCAUUAAAGGAAUGGAGACAUUUGUUAGAGGGCACCGUCCUCCCAGUUACUAUCUUGACUGACCACAAAAAUUUAUCGUAUAUGGGGGAGGCCAAAAGAUUAUCUGCCAGGCAGGCACGUUGGUCUAUGUUCCUUACACACUUUAAUUAUGUGCUUACUUACAGGCCUGGUUCUAAGAACACUAAGGCAGACGCUUUGUCACGUCAGCACGAACCUACCACCUCUACAGAGGAUACUUUGUUCCCUAUUAUUCCUGAAGUCAAUAUUAUCGCCAACACCAAUGUCAAAAUACACUCUCCAUUGCUCGCUGAUAUUCAGAACGAACAAUCUCUUGCUCCCGAACGUACUCCUGUGGGCCGCUUGUUCGUGUCUCCCAAAUUCCAAGUGGACAUUAUUCGCUGUUUCCACGAUAGCAAGAUCGCUGGUCACCCCGGCAUCCACAAAACUUACUGCCUGAUCUCCAAAGACUUCUGGUGGCCCGGUUUACGUAGGGAUGUGGAAGACUUUGUCAAGGCUUGCAAUGUUUGUGUCAGGAAUAAACUUCCGCGGGAUCUCCCUUGUGGUUUAUUGCAGCCCUUAGUCGUUCCCAACAAACCUUGGGCUUGUUUGGCUAUGGAUUUUAUUGUUGAUCUACCAGCUUCCAAUAGGCAUACAGUUAUCCUCACGGUCCUUGACAGGUUUACUAAAAUGGCUCAUUUUGUUCCCUUGCCUAAACUUCCUUCCUCCCCCGAACUGGCCGUGAUAUUUGCUAGAGAAAUUUUCCGUUUACAUGGUAUUCCCAAUGAGAUUGUGUCAGACAGGGGUUCCCAAUUUAUUUCCCGUUUUUGGAGAUCCUUCUGUUCACAGUUGGGCAUCAAACUGAAUUUUUCUUCGGCCUAUCAUCCUCAAUCUAACGGAGCAGCCGAACGCACUAACCAAAAAAUUGAGCAAUAUCUACGUUGUUUUGUUUCUGAACACCAGGAUGACUGGGUCGGUCUGAUUCCUUGGGCGGAGUUUGCUCACAACAACCUUGUUUGUGGUUCCACUCGUAAUAGCCCCUUUUUCUUGAACUAUGGCUUUAACCCUACUGUUCUUCCGUCGGUGUCUCCUUCCCAGGGUAUACCGUCGGUUGAUGUUCAUAUAGCCAACCUGAGAAAGUUGUGGGAUCAGACUCGACAAAUUCUUGAACGUAGUUCCGCGGUGUUUAAGUCACAUGCUGAUAGGCGUAGACGUCCUGCUCCUAUUUUUUCUCCGGGGAUAGGGUCUGGUUGUGUACCAGACACAUUCGCCUGAAAGUUCCUUCCUUGAAGUUUGCUCCUCGUUACAUUGGUCCUUACAGGGUACUGAGGAGGAUCAACCCGGUUUCCUAUUUGCUGGAUCUACCUCCUACUCUACGCAUCCCUAACUCUUUUCAUGUGUCGUUAUUGAAACCUCUUGUUUUUAACAGAUUUUCCUCCCGCUCUACUCCUCCAUCCUCGGUCCGUGUGGAUGGUCAGGAGGAAUAUAUCAUCAAGUCCAUCCUUGAUUCUCGUAUUUCUAGGGGGAAGCUGCAAUACCUCAUAGACUGGAAAGGUUAUGGUCCAGAAGAGAGGUCUUGGGUUCCUGGUAUAGACGUGCAUGCUCCUCGCCUUCUACGGGCCUUCCACGUUCGUUUUCCUUCUAAGCCAGGUCCCAUCCGCCCGGUGGGCGUUUCUAGAAGGGGGGGUACUGUCAGGGUACCUGUUGGUGAUGUAUCCAGGGAGGACAUCCUCUCUGCUUAGGGGUUCCCUUCCCCUAGCAUUUCGGCAUAUUUCGGCCGUUUUCGCGCCGGCCGCGCUAGCUCCUCCCCCUUUUAUGACGCGACGGCUAGCGUCGACGUCAUGACGUCGGCAUUUGCAUAAAGUGCCGGGAACCGCUAUUCCGGACCUUUUGGGGGCGUGGUCUCUAUUUAGGUAACAGGGUAUUUAAAGGAAACCUUUACUACUGCUCAUUGCCCUGUCGUGGUUCUAGCUUGCUAGUCACUCAGCGCGUUCUUUAUCUUGUGUUUCCGGUUUUGACCCUUGCUUGUCUUUUUGUCCUGUUGUCCUCUCCUCUCCUUUGACUCGGCUUGUAUCUCGCUUACCUGUCCUCCGGCUCCCUUGACCUCGGCUUACCUUUUGACUAUUCUUGCUUUGUCCUUACGUUAGUCCGGCCAUUCUAAGGUCCGGUAUACGUACCUCCUUCUGUGCGCACUCUGCGUAUUGGAUCCCUGUCAGUUUCCUGACAACCGCUAAUAAUACUUUUUAAACAAAAUAGUUAAUCUUAAAAACCACCAAAACUUAUAUAUGCUUCUUUGUAUGUUGAAAUAACACUAGCAUAGGUACAAAAGCCUUUGCAGUUCAUUGUUGAAUUUCUAUAAUCUAAAUCUAUCUUUUAUCGUUUUUGCUCAAAUGAAAAAGCCUAAUAGUGAACGUUCAUAUCACGCUUCCUUCAUGCAAAUCUCUUAACUCUAAUCUCUUUUCUCACAGACUGUGUCACUUUAAGGUUAACUAUGACCACUUCUGUCCCUUGUUCCUAUACUCUCGCUAAUCUUUUUUUUUUUAUAAUAAUUUGAUAAUUUUAAAGUGAAAAUACCAUAUCACCUAAAACAGCAUUAUUCACAGUUGUUGUGACUCACCCAGCUCAUGACUGUGACCCAUGAUAUCCUGGGCAGAUUCAAUCACCUCAGUCAGCCUAGGUCUCCCCUCAGCCUCCAUUUUCUUCCUCUUUUGUUCAAACUUUCUGCUCUGCUUCCACAGCCUCUUCUUGCUUUAUAGGAGAUGGUUGAGAAACUUUCUGGAUCUCUUUGUUCUCUCCUCAGGAAUCCUGCAGGGGUCACUCUCACCAGACUUCUCUGUUUGCACUGGCCCCUUAAUUGUUAGAGGAUAUGAGCCUGUGUCCACCUCCAUUACUAGCUCCUCCUGUAGCUCAGCCCCUUCCUCACCUCCCUCAUUCAGACCUGAAGUACCGAGGGCUGACUCUAACAAGCUUGCAGCUGUAUCUCCACAGCUUAAAGCUUCUUGUUUCAAUUGUUCUAAUAGUACUUCAACUGUGCCAGACAUCUUCCAGGUAAGAGCAGCAGCUCAGUUAUAUUUAAAAACGGCCAACCUUGAUAGUUGUCUGGCACAAGCUGAGGUAAAUAAUUUGGUGCCUUUAAAUUUUUACUCCUCAUUUUCCCGCCGCUGCUUAUCUCGUGCUGCGAUCUACCAGUCAGGGAUAUUGCCCUGAUCGCGACCUUCCCGCUCUGCUAAUAGCGCGUGCUGCCCUGCACCUAACCCUCACUGCGCUCUGCUGCUAACCUAAACUCACCAAUACGUACCCAACAGCCUCUGCUCCAUCAAACCUCAUGAGGCAUGCUCCUUAUGCAGUCCGCGUGCCCGACAUUACAGGAUUUAGAAUGCCUCUAGUGGCUGCCAUUCAGACAGACAGCCACAAAAGGCACUUCCUGUUUGCUAGGCGACUUUUGGUUGCCUAACUGAUGCUGGACAUUCUCACGCUCUGCAUAAGGACAUCAAGUGUCAGUAAAAAAAAACCCAUAGAAAAGCAUUGCAGCCAUGUUAAAUGUGCAAUGAAAGGUUUCUAAUAGAGAAGUCUUUGAUUUGAGGAUUUCAUUUGCUCAGAAGUAGGUGCGUGCUCUGAGCCGACAACGGGAGGGGAAAAGAGAGGGAGACAAGAAAGAGAGGAAAAGGGAUGUCAGGAUAUUAAAAAAAAAAAUUAGCAGAGGGCUUCAAUCGGUGUGGGAGGGAAAGGAGACCAGAGCUUGUUCAUUUCAAGGGAAAAACAGUUUGACUGUUGGCAGCGUGCUGUGCUCUGGGCAUCCUAAGUCACAUAUGCUUGAGGUACAACUAGUCUCAGGCACAUAAUUAACAAUAACGCUGGAUGUGCAAUGUUUCUAUCAGAAGCACUGUACAUCCAAACUACUACCACCAUGACCACUUCAGAAAGCAGAAAUGGUCAUGGUGGUUGGAGUAACACUUUAAGUGGGCUGAUGGGGAGGGAUGAGCACCAAAAGCCAUGAACAGUUAGUUUCUUCUGCUUGAUAGUAGAGCUACAGGCACAGUUUUAGUAGGUGUAAAACUCAGUGCUGCCCCAGCUCCUCCAUGUCUGUGUGUGAGGCUGGACAGGAAAUGGAAGGGAUCACUUACCCCUAUGAUUGCAGACCAUUUGCAAUACCUUGGGUUGUCUACUAUUGCAAAUGGUAUGCCAUUAUGGGUGUAAAUUUCAUUCCUGGGCUACUAUAAAGUCCCAAAGGCAACGUAACCAAUCUGGCAAAUUUCAAUUUCAAAUGUAACGAGCUAUAUUUGACCCUGUAACUUCCCAAAACGCCAUAAAACCUGUACAUAGGGGGUACUGUUUUACACGUGAGACUUUGCUGAAUACAAAUAUGUGUAUUUUAUUGCAGUAAAAGCAAACAGUAUUAUGACAUUGACCGUUAAAAUGUCAUGUAGAACUAAAAAAAUCUUAUUUUCUCCCAUUUUUUUCAUAUUAAAUUAUGUUUCAUAGUUAAAUAUUUGAUAUUAAAUGAAAGCCCUGUUUCCCCUGAAUAAAAUGAUAUAUAAUAAGGGUGGGUGCAUUUAAUAUGAAAGAAGUGAAUUACGGUUGGACAGACAUGUAGCGCAAAUGCCAGGUUUUGUUUACAUUUUGUUUUGUUCACAACGUGUACAUUUGGCUCCGUCCUUAAGGGGUUAAUCUCAAAUUUAAAGGGACACUACAGAGGCAUAAAAAAAUAUUUUAGCUUGCCGAAAUUCUUUGUGUCAAAUGUCUCCUUUUUUUUUCCCCCUCAAUUUUACAAAAAGUGAAGAUGUGAAUAGAAAGUGACACAAUUAUGUAUAACUAUGUUACACACCCACUGACUGCCAGACAGUUGGUACCGUUACGUCCUGGUUGUUUAGCUCAGUGGCACUAAACGCAAUGGAUAGGAUAUUACAACCAGCGCCUGCAUUGCAAAAGACUGAGAUUUCCUAUUGGCAAGUCUGUGACUGGGCUGGGUUAGAAGAGUAGGGCUUUCAAAGCCUUUAGACGAGAGAGAGUGUUUGUUUUUUUAAUCUAUUCACCAAUGGGAAGUGCAGUGCUCCUUUAACUCCUUAAGGACACGUGACAUGUCAUGAUUCCCUUUUAUUCCAGAAGUUUGGUCCUUAAGGGGUUAAACGCACAAAGCCUAAACCGAAAGAAAUUCUUUAUCUUAAUAAUUGGUUUAACUUCACUUAAUCAAAACUCCCCAUGUAUCUGUCCCCAAUACUAAAUGUAACACAACACUAUCAUUUAUAUUACAACUAUAACGUAUCUCAAGCUUUUAAUACAGUAAACAGACUGUGUUGAUUAUGUUAACCCCUGUCUAAACUUUACCCUCCCCCACCUUUUCCAUAACUACUUUUACCAUUAUUGUUAACCCAGCAUGCAUACACUAUGCAUUCAAAUACAUAAGCAGAGUUACACACAUAAGCAACAUCUGCCAUUAUCAGAUAUGUUGUGUGUUUUUUUAGAUAUUGUUAUAUGUACCUAUGUCCAGAUAAUUUUAAAUGCCCUUUUUCUGUGAGGGAGGGGACUUAUACAAUUUUAAACGACCACUAUAGUGUCAGGAAAACAAACUCGUUUUCCUGGCAUUAUAUAACCCUUAGGAAUCCCCCACCCUCAGGACCCCCCUCCCGCUGGACUAAAGGGGUUAAAACCCCUUUAGCCACUUAUCUUUAUCCAGCGCCGGGCUCCCUCGGCGCUGGUGACCUCUCCUCCCCAUCCGCCGUCAGCUCCAGUUUGGAGCCGAAUGCACAUGCGCCGCCAGAGUCACGCGCGCAUUACAAUAGCCCAUAGGAAAGCAUUUCUCAAUGCAAUUUUUGCAUUGAACGUUGUGGAAGUGCCUCUAGCGGCUGUCAGGAAGACAGCCACUAGAGGCUGGAAUAACCCUGCAAUGUAAACAUAGCAGUUUCUCUGAAACUGCUAUGUUUACAUCUGAAGGGUUAAAACUUGGGGGACCUGACACCCAGACCACUUCAUUGAGCAGAACUGGUUUGCGUGACUAUAGUGGUCCUUUAACCCCUUAAGGACACAUGACAUGUCUGACAUGUCAUGAUUCCCUUUUAUUCCAGAGAUUUGGUCCUUAAGGGGUUAAGCUUACAGACACCUGAUGUAAAUCUUGCCCUGUGGGAUAGAACAUUCUUUAAAAAAAAAAAAAAAAAAUGUUAGCCAGCUGCCAAAUGUAACACAAAUGUAUAUAAAGGAGCUUAAACGCUCACUUUUUUUUUUAUAUAGAAUUUUUUUUUUAAAUUCAUUUUUAAUUAGCUGCUGGUCACUACCAUGUAUCCUCCCUAGAACCAUUAAAAAUGUAGUGCAGUACUUCAGUGCGAUUAAAAAUAAAAUAGAAUACAUUCUUAAAGUGUCAAAGUGAAUAUUGUUCAUAUAAUUAAACAAUGUAGUGCUAAACAGAACAAACUUGACUCUGUCUGUAGACAGAUGAUAACUUCAAUAUCCAAAUAACCUAUAAAGUGCUUAAUGCAAUCACCAUUCCACUACUGAUAAUCCGUGCAGUACAAAAUACAUCCAAUUCAAUAUUGGUGCAAAAUGCAUCCACUUCAAUAUUAUAAAUUAUAACCCACUGAUGUUAAUGUCUCUUUAAAGACAAGAGGGCUUAAGUGACGGGAGGGGUCUUAUGGGUGGGGGACAUAUAUGCUGUCCAGGCCUGGACUGACGAGUUAGCUAAUCUUCUGGAUGACAGAGUAAAAAAAAAUUUGUGGGAUGUCCCUGGACAUGUUUGCUGGGCUCUCCCAGAUUAGUCAAUACAUUAUUGUAUGUGGUCACUGGCAAACAUCUGUACCGUGUAUUUUACCUACAAGGCUUGUAUAUUUCAGAAUCACUGAAGGAGGCUGGAAGUGGUUGUGGUUUUAACGUGCUCCUGUCAUGAAUGUAAGAAUGUAUAACUAAAAAUUAAACUGUGUAUUCUCCCAGGUGCAUAGAUAAGAAUUCUACAGACAAUCCUGCGUUCAACUUACAUAGGUGGUUAUUUCAUGCCUCACAGGGUGCCCAAAUUUCAGAAAUCUGUUAUAAUGAAUAGCGUAAAUGGAAUACCUUACAAGCAGAUAUGCUGAUUAAACAUUUUGGCUCCUGUUAGGAAAACCAGGUUACACUCCUUGCUCAUCAAGUGGUCCCAUCAAUUGGAUGGUUUUUAAUUAUGGCUCCACAAUCAAGAACAAGGUUUCCAGAAAAUUCAUUUCACAGCUUGUUGACCAAGACUUUACAUUGCCUGUCUCCUGAUAGUGAUUCAGGCUAGUUUAUAUAUGGAAUCAUUGCUCUAGGAGGUGGUGGGAGUAUAAUGAACACAUACCAGCAGUUUUUAGCAAAUAACUGAUGUUUAGUACAAACUAUAAAGUGUCAGGUCCACUUUAGUGCUAUAUGUAAGCAGGUUUGUGCAAUUUCUCUCCUAUUGACUUAUAUUUUUAAGGUAUAACUGCACAUAACUAUAAUUAGGCAAAUAGCAUAUCAGUGUAUUUCCUAAUGUGCAGUAUUCAUCCACAAAGUCAGACUUUGUUACAACGGUAUAGAUUGCAGAGAUUAAAGUGCACCUGGUAUGACAAAAAAACAACAUAGAGAAACUACAUAUAUAAUAAAAUCACAUAUACACUUUGUACUAGCCAAAAGCUUUUCUUUUGUGUAAUUUUGUAUAUGGCACAGCAUGGAGGUAGAAUACAAAGAUUUUGCCUACAAAGGCCUCUGUGUGCUGCUGCCCAACCCUUGAUAAUGCCACAUCAUCAUUCUAAUACGCAUUAGGGGUAUUGCCCUUGUAAUCAGGGGUCAAAUCCUGGGGGGAAAAGUGCAGCAAUUCACCCAAUAUUUCCACACCCCAAAAUGGGUGGAAUGUCUUGUGUUUGUUUUGCUCAGCGCCAGCAAAUUUAACCCCUUCAGGACGGAGUCAAUAGUACACGUUCUGAUCAAAACAAAACGUAAACAAAAACUGGAAUUUGCUUAUAUGUCUGUUCACCCGUAAUUCACCGCUGUCACAUUAAGUGCACCCACACUUAUUAUAUAUAAUUUUGUUCAGGAGAAACAGGGCUUUAAUUUAUCAUUAAUUAUUCAUAUAUUCAACAUCAGUUAUUAUGAAUAAAAUUUUAGAAAAUAAGAUUUUUUUUAAAAAAUUGUGUAUUUCCGUCUAACAUUUUAGCUGUUAAUGUCAUAAUACUGUUAGGUAUUACUGUAAAAAAAAAUGCACAUAUUUGUAAUCAGCGAUGUCUCACGAGUACAACAGUACCCUCCAUUAACAGGAUUUAUGGUGUUUUGGAAAGUUACAGGGUCAAAUAUAGAACGUUCCAUUUUCAAAUUGAAAUUUGCCACAUUAGUAAUGUUACCUUUGAGACGGUGUGGUAGCCCAGGAAUGAGAAUUACCCCCAUAAAGGCAUACCAUUUGAAAAAGUAGACAACCCAAGGUAUUGAACGUGGGGUAUGUUUAGUCUUUUUUAGUAGCCACUUAGUCUUUAAAGCCGCGACGGCAUAGAACGCUAUAACGGCGUUAAGGGGUUAAGGAUAUGCCUGCUGAUGUUUUUUUAAGUCGUAUACCAAAGAACAAAACAGGACAGGGUUGGCGUUUGUGUGAAAGGACAUGUGGUGUACACACACAGACUGACCUGAACACACAUACAUGCAGUCACACCUCCUGCCCCAUACAGAGUGCACACGCACCAGCAGAUGCCUAGAUGCCUACCUUUCCGCAAGCUUUCUCUUCUCUGUCUCCCCACGCUGCUCUCUGUGACCCAGGAUGAAGUGAAAUGUAAUCACUUUCUGCCAGCACAAUGCCACUUGUGGCCACACGAGGUAACUGACUGUCAUUGUGCCGGGUCGACGCGACGACGUGGCCGUGCCCCAUUGGUGUCGUCAAGUCAGGGGAAACCUCACUCCCAUACUCGCCAUAAAACAGACUCACUCACUCUGCAUUCCCUAAAAGCCCCGUUCUUGGAGUUGACAAUGAUGAUGUGUACGUGCGCACCUCAUCACAUUAACAACACGCAUGUCUAGGCAUCACAUAGUUAAUUAUAAUCCUUGCUCUCCUAGGGAUAUUUACACUCCCAUAACCCAUUAUAUGGUGCCAUGUCAGGGUUUCCAUCUGUUUAGUAAAAUCUGAGAGCGUGUAUCCUUUUGUUAUUUCUAAUUUAUGUAACCUUCGCAUUCCUUGACUAUUCCACCUUCUGUUGUCCUUGACCUUUUGGCUAUUCUCUAAUUUUAUCCUGUCUUUUGUAAUCCUGACCUCGGGUAGUCCUGUAUUAUUCUACAUAGCAUUAAAUCCAUCGAUUCUUAGGCCUGGUAAUACACUUUUUUUCCCCAGGUGCAUUUGUUUUACUUAUGUUUUGCAUUUUGCGUCCUGGUUUUCCAUGACAUUGACAUCUAGGAGCCAGGUUGGCCAUGACUUGCAUUAGGGCUACCUACCUCACCCCCCUCCCCCUGACAUUGAGAUUACUGGGUUAGAGAUAUUUGAUCUUCUCACCUGCUCAUUAAGGUACAAAGAGCCCUAUCUGGGCUGGUUCUGCCCUGCCCACAUUUUUCUCCAGAAGUAACAGUGUUGCUGCACAUAGCUCAUUGUCAGUCUGGGGCCACUAACUGUAACCUAAGCUCACAGAGGGGAUCCUCCGGUGUCUAGUGAUAUCUGAGGAUCCUUGGUACUAGCAGGGAUUUAAUCCUUGUGGUACGUUUAAUGCAUGACUGUCUAUGCGGUCAGCGGCAUUAAAGCCCUGCAAUGCUUAACAGCAUAAACGGUCACAACCCUGUUAGUUUUACCACUGGAUGGAGCCCUUUUUAUGUUUACAUAAGACAGUCAGUGGUUUGCACUCAAAGGUACAUAGCAAGGAAAGUUGGGUUUUUGUUUUUUUGUUUGUUUUCUCUGAUGUUAAACCUGCAGUCUAUUGAAGCCACUUUCCCAUAAUAGGAUUCACAGCCCAGUGUUCCAUUACCAUUACGGGCACUCAUUCCCAGUUCGUCUUUCAGUCCUUGGUAUUUGUUCUCAUAUGAAUAAAAAAAAUAAUUUUUUUUUACAUUCUUUAUUUUUGUAGUGCAGCGGUAUAUAUUCAGGUUAGCAAUGACAUAUUGUAUACACUUAAUCUGUAUAGAUUAACAAGGAACAAAAAGGACAUAUUAAGAUAAACUGAACUUUUUUAAAGUAUAUGAACAAGAUAAAUAUACAAGUGGUAGUCAGUGUAGAACAAAAUAAGCAAAAUAAUUGUCAGGCUUAGAUAGCUGACUACACAAGAUUAAUGUAAAGGAAAGGGAAACCACCAAUAGCCUUUUUCCUGGGCCCACUGUUUAAGACAGACAGAGUAAAUCAAGCAGAGUUGCCAUACUGGGCAGGAAUAAGUAGAUAAAGUGCAUAUUUAUCCAAUACCCAUAGCAUGCAAGCAGAGUCCAGGCAGGUAUAAAAGUUGACAGAAGCCACCCUGUGUUCCAUGUCUCACUGUAGCACUCCAGCUUCUAUAGCCACAGGCUACGUCUCCCGCUACUAGUUAAAGUCUUUGAGAUUUCCGGGGGUUAUAAUCUUUGUGGGCGUGUUGUCAGAGUGCUGCCCACUAAAUCUACUUGUGUCUCUGUCCGGAGGUGAUUUUCCAAGCUAAAACACUGUAAUCAGGCUGAUCCAUGGGAACUAAUAGAGUGGGUUGCUUCCUCAGAUUGUGCCAGAACUGCUGACAGAUGGCAUCCACUGCGCUGAAGAAGCCCUCUUCUCAGUUCUGCGCCAGAGCUUGUACAGCAUGCUUUGCAGUAGUGCUGCCAUCGGCCAUUUUAGAUGGGUUUACAUAGGAACCUUCAAUGCACGAUUCACCCUGCAGCAGCAGAAAGGUGAGUGACCACAAAAUAGAAACCGUAGACUGCCCCAGAUGGAGAGAUUAGCUGCUUCCCUCACCAAGGAAACACCAUGCUGCAAUAAACUAGAAGUCGCAGCCACCAGACAGCUAGAAUGAUAAGAUCAGGAACCCACUCCAAAGUGUUCCAAGGAGUACCAGACAAGGUUAUUUCUGAAUCUCUUUAAAAUCAGGAUUAGGCAGGAGCUCAAGUUUUCUGUGACCAUCCAGUAGCGCUGCCCCAUGUGCUUUCUUUUUCAUGUUAUGGUCACUGGACAUUGCCACCUCCAACACGAAACUGGUUGUUUGGCCAGUGCUUGUUUUCCUGUCAGGAUCUGGACGUUUUAAUGGAUCUUGGCCCUGUCAUUUACAUCUACUCUUUAUGGCAACUUAUAUCACCUGGACUUGGGCAGGUAUAACCCAUUUUUGGUGCAGUAGGUUCUGUACAAAAUUCCAGCAACUCUGUUGUGUUUCUCAGUGUAUACUGUUCCUGCCAGCAUCUUACACCCGGGCUAGCUCGCCCCCUUCUUAAUAAUAUGUACUACAGCUUAUUGGAAAGCUGUGAUUGCAUUCUAGUGUGGCUACAACAGAAAGGUUUCUCAAUGAGCGUUUGAUUGGUAUAUUCCUCGGCACAAAGACAUACAAGCUUGCAAAGGCUGCAGACAGUAGAUUUUUUCCCCAUAUACGCCCAUAGAAAACAUUCUGGAUAAAAGAUAUGAGGGUUUACCAUGUACUAAAUUGUAUAACAUUGUAAAACACUCCAUUAAAAUUACUAAUAUUUUUUUUUUUUUACUUUCUAAAGCAAUUGCUAAGGUUUUUGAAUUUUAUUUCCUUAUUGAUUAUUUUAAGCACUGGAAUAUCUUGGCCAAAAUUCUGUUUUAUGACCUUGUUGACCUUAUAUUUCACUAUUUGAGUUUAUUGUAAAUCAAUGUAUUGCAGUUCUUUAUGACAUAAAGAGAAAGUGAGCUACAAAUUGAUUGAGAAGAGAGAAUAUUCUCUGUCAAAGUACAUAUAACAUUGAAGGAGGUGGUGGUGGUAAACAUGUUGUAAACCAAAUGUGAAUGCUCUAGAACUAUAGAGUAUUAAUAAAUGAUAAUAUAAUUGUCAACAUUGUCUCUAUUCUAUUUGUGUUACCUAACUAUUGUCCACAUAUGGUGUGGUGUGGUUGUUUUUUUGUUUUUUUUCUUCUUAUCUGUUCUAAAUUAUUGCUGGUUGAUAUACAGUGAUCAGCAACGACAUUGAUACCACAUUCCUCAUAUCGCACAGAUCCCCCCUUCUGCUGCCAAAACAGCUCUGAUGCAUUGAGGAAUGGACUCCACAAGACUUCUGAAAGUGUCCUGUGGUAUCUGGUGCCAAGUCUUUA